rnacentral:rRNA from 1 species
CGCAAUGGGCGAAAGUCUGACGGAGCGACCCCCCGCGAAGGAUGAAGUAUUUAGGUAUGUAAACUUCUUUUAUCUGGGAAGAAAUUUUUGACGGUACCAGAUGAAUAAGGGGUUGCUAAACUCGUGCCAGCAGCAGCGGUAAUACGAGUGCCCCGAGCGUUAUCCGGAAUUAUUGGGCGUAAAGGUUGCGUAGGCGGUUUUGUUAGUCUCUUGUUAAAUUCCUCGGCUUAACCGAGGUAUCGCAGGGGAAACGGCAAGACUAGAGGAAGUGAGAGGUUUGCGGAACUCAUGGUGUAGCGGUGAAGUGCGUUGAUAUCAUGGGGAACACCAAAUGCGAAGGCAGCAAACUGGCACUUUUCUGACGCUGAGGCAAGAAAGCGU